rnacentral:lncRNA from 1 species
CAUCCUGUGUGAAGGAUACAUUGUCCCUUUGAGGCACUCUUGUUGUUCCAAGUGCCUAUAAUCAAUAAUACAAGAUCUCUUUAGUGAGUUUAGUGUUAAGACAAAACUGUCUAUACGAAAAAACGAUCUCAUUUUUUGAAGUGUAACCAAAUAACAUUAAAACAUGUUAAUAAUAAUAAAUAAAAAAAACAUAAGGUAAAAACACAAGCAUUAGAGCCUAAGCCCCANACAAACAAAAACUAGAACCUGAACCCCAAACAUAGAAAUCAUAGGAAAACACUUAGGUCCUAGGAAAUAGAAAAACACUUAGACUAAAACAACCCGACGCAUGACUAGACGAUGUCUUGUCUAAAGGCGUCCAAAAUAGAAUUGAGCUAAUCGCUCAGUGCUUAAAAUACCUGAAGUAGUUAUUUUGCUUCUCUCGAAAACAAAACAGGUCGAGACAAUGUCUUCGACUAAAAUAAUAAAAGACAUAAUUGUUAAAACAUAUAAAAAAGGUUAAACAAGCUAAACACUAUCUGUCUAGAAAGAAACAAAAGCCAAAGAAGUGUUUACUUGGAUCAAAACGAUACCAUGAG